CAGCCGCCGCGGUAAUACGUAGGGUGCGAGCGUUAAUCGGAUUUACUGGGCGUAAAGCGUGCGCAGGCGGCCCGUUAAGACAGGUGUGAAAUCCCUGGGCUCAACCUAGGAAUUGCGCUUGUGACUGGCGGGCUCGAGUACGGUAGAGGGGGGUGGAAUUCCUGGUGUAGCAGUGAAAUGCGUAGAGAUCAGGAGGAACACCGAUGGCGAAGGCAGCCCCCUGGGCCUGUACUGACGCUCAUGCACGAAAGCGUGGGGAGCAAACAGGAUUAGAUACCCUGGUGGUCCACGCCCUAAACGAUGGGUACUAGCCGUUUGGUGCGCGAUAGCGCUGAGUGGCGAAGCUAACGCGUGAAGUACCCCGCCUGGGGAGUACGGCCGCAAGGUUGAAACUUAAAGGAAUUGGCGGG
rnacentral:rRNA from 1 species